rnacentral:rRNA from 1 species
AACGAACGCUGGCGGCAUGCCUAACACAUGCAAGUCGAACGAGACCUUCGGGUCUAGUGGCGCACGGGUGCGUAACGCGUGGGAACCUGCCCUUAGGUUCGGAAUAACUCCCCGAAAGGGGUGCUAAUACCGGAUAAUGUCUUCGGACCAAAGAUUUAUCGCCUUUGGAUGGGCCCGCGUUGGAUUAGCUAGUUGGUAGGGUAAAAGCCUAUCAAGGCGACGAUCCAUAGCUGGUCUGAGAGGAUGAUCAGCCACUCUGGGACUGAGACACGGCCCAGACUCCUACGGGAUGCAGCAGUGGGGAAUAUUGGACAAUGGGCGAAAGCCUGAACCAGCAAUGCCGCGUGAGUGAUGAAGGCCUUAGAGUUGUAAAGCUCUUUUACCCGGGAUGAUAAUGACAGUACCGGGAGAAUAAGCUCCGGCUAACUCCGUG